CCCGGGCUGCCCUCUGUCUCAGGGGACAGCCCCUGACUCUGUCCUUGCAGGAGCUGCAGCCUGGUACUUCCCUGUAGACCACCACUUCAGCCCCACACCAACUCCUGUCCUCUGGACCUCCCCAAUCACGUCCAAGGCCAGCCUCCCCUCUGUCUCAGAAGCCGCUGCCCCGGGCCAGGCUGCCAUCACUCUCCUGGGACCUUGAUACCGCUCCUGUACCCACUCUUGUCCCCUACAGCCCAAGUGAACUUUACGGAUCUGAUCUCCUCACUCUGCUCUAUAAAACUUCCAAAGCUUCCAGUCGCCUCUAGGACAAGGGCCUUGGUCGGCCACACUGAUCCUCUCUUGGGCCUUCAGUAUUUGCCAAGUGCCGGGCACACGUGGGCUCCGUGUUCCACAUUGCCUCCUCACUGCAAGAGGUACACUUAUGAUUAUGGGUUUUCAGAAGAAGAAAGCGGCUCAGAGCAGAGAAG